GCGCUUCAGCAGCGCCGCACCGUUGCCAUUCGGUAGCUCGUCCAUAGCGGGGCGGCCGGCGGGUCCCACGCUUCCGCGGCCGUGGUGCUUUCUGGGAAGGGGGCGAGUCCUUCGGCAUUCCCUGGGUAGGCCAAGCCUACCGUCUUCCUGGGUCCUACAGCUAGCCCGAGUGUGAUGCCCAAGGUGCCAAAUCCCUGGCUCCAGAGUCCCGUCGUAGGAAUCCCCGUACAGAAAAACCGCUCACCGUAUUUCAGGGAUCUACGGACUGCCCGGGAAAAAAGGAUCGAAAGAGGACCCUUUGGAGAUGACCCGGUUUUAGAGCCGAGCAAAUUCUUCAAAGAAGAUUUUCUUUCCACAUCAAGUCUUCUUUCCUUUCGGAGAAUACAGCUCCUGUCUAGGCUGGAUGGCUCCUCUUCUUCUCCUUGACACCCGCAGCAGCAGACAGGGCACAUCGUGUCUCUUCCAUUGAUACUGAACAAUGUUCUCACUGUGUUUACAAAGAUAAACUACUUAUCAA
rnacentral:lncRNA from 1 species